GGAUUAGAUACCCUGGUAGUCCACGCCGUAAACGAUGUCUACUAGCCGUUGGGAGACUUGAUCUUUUAGUGGCGCAGCUAACGCGAUAAGUAGACCGCCUGGGGAGUACGGCCGCAAGGUUAAAACUCAAAUGAAUUGACGGGGGCCCGCACAAGCGGUGGAGCAUGUGGUUUAAUUCGACGCAACGCGAAGAACCUUACCAACUCUUGACAUCCAGAGAAGUUACUAGAGAUAGUUUCGUGCCUUCGGGAACGCAGAGACAGGUGCUGCAUGGCUGUCGUCAGCUCGUGCCG
rnacentral:rRNA from 1 species